rnacentral:rRNA from 1 species
UAUAGAGCUUUAAUUAACUUUUAGACAAAAGUAUUACCGUAAAACUGUAACCAAAAGUUAAUUUUUGUUGGGGCGACAGAGAGAAAAUAAAUAACACUCUUUUUUUAAAAAAUACUUAUUAGUAAAUAAAGGAUCCUUAAAUCAAGAUUAAAAGACUAAGUUACCUUA